AUACGUAGGGGGCAAGCGUUAUCCGGAAUUAUUGGGCGUAAAGAGUGCGUAGGUGGUUAUUUAAGCGAGAGGUUUAAGGCUACAGCUUAACUGUAGUUCGCCUCUCGAACUGAAUGACUUGAGUGCAGGAGAGGAAAGCGGAAUUCCUAGUGUAGCGGUGAAAUGCGUAGAUAUUAGGAGGAACACCAGUGGCGAAGGCGGCUUUCUGGACUGAAACUGACACUGAGGCACGAAAGCGUGGGGAGCAAACAGGAUUAGAUACCCUGGUAGUCCACGCCGUAAACGAUGAGCACUAGGUGUCGGGAGGAUGAACUCUCGGUGCCGCAGUUAACGCAAUAAGUGCUCCGCCUGGGGAGUACGCACGCAAGUGUAAAACUUAAAGGAAUUGACGGGG
rnacentral:rRNA from 1 species